rnacentral:rRNA from 1 species
CCUGGCGGUAAUAGCGGAGGGGCCACACCUGAUACCAUUCCGAACUCAGAAGUUAAGCCCUCCAGCGCCGAUGAUACUGCUAUUGGCGGGAAAGUAGGUCGCUGCCAGGU